rnacentral:lncRNA from 1 species
CUGAUGUUCAAAAUUGUGAUCCUGAGCUUAUUUACUGCCCCAGCAAGACAAACCAACCCCAAUCCAAACCCAGUGUUGAAAAAGUUAGAAGCACAGAAGGUAGCCUUUCCAUCAGCUAGGUUACACACAACAAAUAGCAGAAAAGCAAGGCCGGUUCCACCAAUACUGGCAGUAAACUGUGUCAGGAGAUCAAAAAGCUCAGAGCUAAAUUUCUUCAGG